rnacentral:tRNA from 1 species
GGAGGGAUGGCUGAGUGGUUGAAAGCGGCGGUCUUGAAAACCGUUGAGUGUAACAGCUCCGUGGGUUCGAAUCCNNUCCACCCCGGGUUCGAAUCCCGGUCUCUCCGCCA